CUACAUUACACACAAACACACUGUUACACACAAACACACUACAUUACACACAAACACACUGUUACACACAAACACACUACAUUACACACAAACACACUGUUACACACAAACACACUGUUACACACAAACACACACAAACACACUACAUUACACACAAACACACUGUUACACACACACACUGUUACACACAAACACACUGUUACACACACACACUGUUACACACAAACACACUGUUACACACAAACACACUGUUACACACAAACACACUGUUACACACAAACACACUACAUUACACACAAACACACUACAUUACACACAAACACACUGUUACACACACACACUGUUACACACAAACACACUGUUACACACAAACACACUGUUACACACACACACUGUUACACACAAACACACUACAUUACACACAAACACACCGUUACACACAAACACACUGUUACACACAAACACACUGUUACACACAAACACACUGUUACACACAAACACACUGUUACACACAAACACACUACAUUACACACAAACACACUGUUACACACACACACUGUUACACACAAACACACUACGUUACACACAAACACACUGUUACACACAAACACACACAAACACACUACAUUACACACAAACACACUGUUACACACAAACACACACAAACACACUGUUACACACAAACACACUACAUUACACACAAACACACUGUUACACACAAACACACACAAACACACUACAUUACACACAAACACACUACAUUACACACAAACACACUACAUUACACACAAAACACACUACAUUACACACAAACACACUACAUUACACACAAACACACUACAUUACACACAAACACACUACGUUACACACAAACACACACAAACACACUACAUUACACACAAACACACUACAUUACACACAAACACACUACAUUACACACAAACACACUACAUUACACACAAACACACUACAUUACACACAAAACACACUACAUUACACACAAACACACACAAACACACUACAUUACACACAAACACACUACAUUACACACAAACACACUACAUUACACACAAACACACUACAUUACACACAAACACACUACGUUACACACAAACACACUACAUUACACACAAACACACUACGUUACACAAAAACACAAAAACACAAAAACACAGACACAUUCCAUCUCUUUCCUAGGUUCCUGGCUGAACAACCAGAUUCACAAACACACUACAUUACCCACAUAACCCCUGAACUAACCCACCUACCUAACCCCUGAACUAACCUACCUACCUAGCCCUAACCCCUGAACUUACCCACCUACCUAACCCCUGAACUAACCUACCCACCUAGCCCUAACCCACCUACCUAGCCUUAAUCCCUGAACUAACAAACCUACCUAGCCCCUGAACUAACCCAACCACCUAACCCUAACCUCUGAACUAACCCACCUACCUAGCCCCUGAACUAGCCCACCUACCUAGCCCUAACCCCUGAACUAACCCACCUACCUAGCCCUAACCCCUGAACUAACCCACCUACCUAGCCAUAACCCCUGAACUAACCUACCUACCUAGCCCUAACCCCCGAACUAACCCACCUAGCCCUAACCCCUGAACUAACCCACCGACCUAGCCCUAACCCCUGAACUAACCCACCCACCUAGACCUAACCCCUGAACUAACCCACCUACCUAGCCCUAACCCCUGAACUAACCCACCUACCUAGCCCUGACCCCUGAACUAACCUACCUACCUCUAACCCCUAAACUAACCCACCUACCUAGCCCUAACCCCUGAACUAACCCACCUAGCCCUAACCCCUGAACUAACCCA
ensembl:lncRNA